GCGUCUUUUCCUGUUUCAGAUCUACAUCUGGCAAUGGAGAACCCAUUGGACGAUGUAGUUGUGAAACAGGAAAAAACGC
rnacentral:pre_miRNA from 1 species